AUUGAACGCUGGCGGCAUGCCUUACACAUGCAAGUCGAACGGCAGCACGGGUGCUUGCACCUGGUGGCGAGUGGCGAACGGGUGAGUAAUACAUCGGAACAUGUCCUGUAGUGGGGGAUAGCCCGGCGAAAGCCGGAUUAAUACCGCAUACGAUCUACGGAUGAAAGCGGGGGACCUUCGGGCCUCGCGCUAUAGGGUUGGCCGAUGGCUGAUUAGCUAGUGGGUGGGGUAAAGGCCUACCAAGGCGACGAUCAGUAGCUGGUCUGAGAGGACGAUCAGCCACACGGGAACUGAGACACGGCCCAGACUCCUACGGGAGGCAGCAGGGGGGAAUUUUGGACAAUGGGCGAAAGCCUGACCCAGCAAUGCCGCGUGGGUGAAGAAGGCCUUCGGGUUGUAAAGCCCUUUUGUCGGGAAAGAAAAGCAGGACGUUAAUACGGUGGGGGUCUGACGGUACCGAAAGAAUAAGCACGGGCUAACUUCGUG
rnacentral:rRNA from 1 species